GCUGCCAUCACUAUCAGAGAAGUGAUUUGUGAGGUUGAAUGUUGGAAGGAAGUUCGGAAAAGUUCAAGGUGGUUCUGGAAUUCUUCCGGCACUAAAGAACAUCCAAAUUGGGCACUUGGAAAAUCAGGAAGAAUCGGUACUAGCAAAAUGUUUCUGUCAUCUCGUCUCUCAACACCUCCUCACAUGGUCUGCCUGCCAUCAUGGUUCCUCUCCGCAGCUCGCUAAUCAUCGAUACCUUUGGCACGUGGCGAGGUAGCAUCCAUUGGUAUUUCUCCGCGCGUCUUUGUGUUGGCACCUCGCAUUAGCACUUGCUAACGUUCGGCGGUGUGCCAGGAUCUCUUCUGUGCCGUCUGGUGCCCGAAUCAUGGCAUCGUUUCAAGAAUGGCACGGUGCCAGCGUGUCUCCGCAGCGAUGGCUCCUGACACGUGCCGCUUGGCAAAGACAAAGAGCCCGAGGGACAAGAAACAGAAAACAAAAGAGCGACAAACACUCUGAUCCGACAGCUUAAUUAACACCGGUGGAGUUUGUUGGGUUAAUUAGGGUGACAGAUUUGUUCGGGAUGAAGGAAUGUGGCAGCAACGAGUGUGAAAACACAAACGAUGGGCGAGUACAGAUGAGUGAAGGAAUGCUGGCGAAUGCGGGGACUGCGAGUCGAGCCGUGCCCUCGGCAGUUUGGUGCCAAUGAUGUGUAGUGUGUGUUUCGGUAGAGGAAUAAUGCUGCAGCAUCGCCAGCUUUGUAUGAUCUUGGCUCAUGGAAUCUGGGAACAGAUUAAAAAUGGGGGAGGAGACGUAAGCAACUAACAGGAGAACCAGGAAGGCCUUGGAUUUAUUACCCAACAAUGAUUCAGCAGAAUGGAGCCGUCAUGUUGUAGUGAUUGCACUCUUUAUUACGGAUUGUUGUUCUGUGAUACAACAUACGAAUGAUUAUCCACCAACAGGAUGGAGUAGUUACUUGGGACAUUUAAGAAGUUCUCAUCGUAUUCAUCAUGGAUAAAGGCUCGAGGUCUUUGACCUCAUGAUGAACCUCCUGUGCUUUGAGAAACAAUGUGCUGAGACUCUGAAACCCUCUGAGAUCCUCGAUCUGCAUGUUUCACGUGGCUCUGAUGUAUGAAUAAUGCACAUUACUUUCUCUCUCCCCAUCUCUCCAUCCUUCUCUCAUCUCUGCACUCUCUACAGGGAGGGAUUUCUAGACAUUUAUGCUUCAUGUCAGGAUGUUGCACUGGCAUCACCUCCUCACGUCCACGGUUUGAGGGCGACGACCGUCAGAGGCGAAGAGUUUAUUUUGGAAUUUGCAUUGUUUAUCGACGAAACUAUGCUCAAGGCGAGUGGAAAAACAAACAUUAACAACCGUGCGAAAUUAGCGAACUCAUUCGUCAUGCCUGAAAUUUCUUCUUUUUUUUUUAUUUAUUUUUUUUUUAGGUAAAGCGUUUGAGCAGGAUUUAAGCGUGGAUAUGCUAAUCUAGUCGCGUUAAUGAGGUUUGGAUCAUCAGUGUUCUCGUCUCUCAGCUCGGUUGGGGAUCUUAAUUUCAACUCAUCUUCAUUAUGCAAAUGGAUUUAAAAAGGGAAAAAAUGGACCAACAAAAAGGGCGGGUGCGGUCAAAAGAGAGAUCGUUUAGAGAGCGAGACGGAAAUUAUGUUCAGUAUGGUGGUUUUUAUGCUUUGACUUGAAGCACAGGCGAAUUAUUUCUCAUCUAUUCAGGAGUAACAACAUGGAGGAUCAAUCCAGAGGAUACUUGUGCUCUUUUCUCCCCCUGGAUACGACUGUUGCACCAGUUGUAUGAUGAAGGGACAGAACAGAAGAUGGAAUUAACCAAAUUAAAAGGAGGGAGAGAAUGGUUAAUAUCCUGUGCUUAAUCAUGGCACAUGAGAUUGGCUGUAUGCAUGUCUCAUUUGCAUCUCAUUAAAUUGCACCUGCUGAAAGGGGGAGGAGAGUGAAGCUGCUUUCGAAUAGAUAUAAGGCAGCUCUUAUGGGGAUGUCUGUUGUAGCUAAAAUGCAUCAUUCUGAAUUCACAACUUCUUUCUGUGCAUUGAUUUGGUGCCAAAUCAAUUACAGGGCCUUUAUAUUAGUUUAGUUCGGGGUUUAGAGUAUUAUUGUGGAAGCAUUAAAACCUGUGACAUAAAAUAUGAACUCUGUGCAUUACUUAUGUAGAAGAAGGGUGAUUUACACACACACACACACACACACACACA